AAAGACUUAGAAGUAAUCAAGAAUCUCCAAAUGCAUCUUUCACCUUGAAUUCUUUGCAUUGAACUUAUAGUAAAACCACGAGUGUUGGCUCUAUGUUUUCCUUGUGUAGCUGUUGCUUCAUUCUCUUACUUGGCCAAGGUAGAGUUGACCAUAUCAAACCCCUUAUCAAAUGACACAUUAUCAUGCUUGAAACACAAGGAGUCGAACAAAGAUCAUCACAAAAACUUGAUUCUGCUAAUGAGAGAGCUCUUACUUUUUUAUCCCAAAGGCUUGUAUUUUCAUAGUCUUUUCCGUCACCAAAUCCAUGCAAUUUUAUCAAUAUCCCAACACGUAGAUUAAUCUUGUCAAACGAUUAUCUUAUUAAAGUUAUAAAUUGUUCAUUCAUGAUUUAGGCUUUCGAAUUAGGCCUUUAAACAAUCCAUGGAGCCGUUCUAUGGCUUUGCCUUCUAAGAUGAGCUAUAAACAACACAUUUGCUUGGUUUCAUCUGUUUGUGUUUGUCCCUUCUUGGUUGAACUUGCCAAGAGAAGAAACCAGACAAACAAUUGAGACAACUUCAGCACCAACAAAAUGCAGACAACUCAUUGCAGGCAAAUCCUCAGGGAAUAAUUUAAAGCAAUAAGCUGUAGACUACGCGUUUGCUUCAUCUUUCAAUGGUGAAGACAAGAACUGAUAACUGUGUC
rnacentral:lncRNA from 1 species